CCUACGGGAGGCAGCAGUGGGGAAUAUUGCACAAUGGGGGAAACCCUGAUGCAGCGACGCCGCGUGAGUGAAGAAGUAUUUCGGUAUGUAAAGCUCUAUCAGCAGGGAAGAAAAUGACGGUACCUGGUUAAGAAGCCCCGGCUAACUACGUGCCAGCAGCCGCAGUAAUACGUAGGGGGCAAGCGUAGUCCGGAUUUACUGGGAGUAAAGGGAGCGUAGACGGCGUCACAAGACUGGAGUGAAAUGGCGGGGCUUAACCCCGGAACUGCUGUGUAAGCUGUGCAUCUAGAGUGCAGGAGAGGUAAGUGGAAUUCCUAGUGUAGCGGUGAGAUGCGUAGAUAUUAGGAACACCAGUGGCGAAGGCGGCUUACUGGACUGUAACUGACGUUGAGGCUCGAAAGCGUGGGGAGCAAACAGGAUUAGAUACCCUAGUAGUC
rnacentral:rRNA from 1 species